rnacentral:lncRNA from 10 species
GUUUUGUUAUGUGUAUUUUGCUUGGAUGGAAAAUGUUAAUUUGGUUCCCCAUGCAGCCCUUUGGGCAGCAUCUUGCAAAAUUAAGAAUCUCUUGCCUAUGGUUCCAUGAAACAGAAAAGGAUAAUUUUCUUUUGUAAUGUGGCUUGACCCCCAUAGCUCUGGCACAGCAAGCAGGGUCAUCUGUUCUUCUGGGAGCUGCAGAGAAAGGGAACCUGGAAAUCUGGAAUGCCAGCAAAAAGGGAGAGAAGAAUCUCUCUUCAAAGAGCAGAUCAAGAGAGAUGCUUUAAAACCACAGCAAGUUUUCAGAGGAUGUCCAUUUUAGCGCCAAAAUUUAAAUACGGGGAGGACGCUAUGGUGCCAAAGGCCCCAGAAAGGUGCACUUGAAGUGGGACACUUGGAACCCCAACUGUCAAUGCUGGAAUGUAGACAUAUGUGCUCCAGCCAGAGCUGCCUUUCGAGAUCAUGGGUGAUUUUGAGAAAACAGUGUUUGUAAAACUGAGCACUAAAAUGAAAAGAGCCUGUGUCUCUAACAUUGUGGAGAGUCAAACCAGUCCUGUAUUGCUUUUCCUAGACUUAUAUGGUCAGAAAGACAUCUAGGAAGUCCUAGCCAGAGCAAUCAGGCAAGAGAAAUAAAUAAAAGGUGUCAAAAUAGGAAAAGAAGAAGUGAAAUUAUCUCUCUUCACUGACAGUGUGAUUCUAUAGCCAGAAAAUCCUAAAGUCCAGCCAAAAGGCUCCUAGAUCUGAUAAAUGACUUUGGAAAAAUCUCAGGAUACAAGAUCAAUGUACAAAAAUCAGUAGCAUUUCUAUACACUAAUAACAUUCAAGCUGAGAGUCAAAUUGAAAAUGCAAUCCCAUUCACAAUAGCCACAGAAAAAAAUAAAAUACCCAAGAAUACAUCUAACCAAGGAGGCGAAAGAUCUCUACAAGGAGAACUACAAAACACUACUGAAAGAAGUCAGAGGUGACACAAACAAAUGGAAAAAAAUGCCAUGCUCAUGAAUUGGAAGAAUUAAUAUCAUUAAAAUGGCCAUACUGCCCAAAGCAAUCUACAAAUUCAGUGUUAUUCCUAUCAAACUACCAAGGGCAUUUUUCACAGAAUUAGAAAAAAAACCUAUUCUAAAGUUCACAUGGAACCAAAAGAAAGAGCCUGAAUAGCCAAAGUCAUCCUAAACAAAAAGAAAAAACCAUGAGGCAUCAUAUUACCUAACUUCAAACUGGACUAUAAGGCUACAAUAACAAAAACAGCAUGUCUCUGGUACAGAAACAGACACAUAGACCAAUGGAAAAGAUUAGAGAACCCAGAAAUAAAGUUGCCCACUUACAGCCAUCUGAUCUUCAAGAAAGUUGACAAAAAUAAGCAGUGGGAAAAGGACUCCCUAUGUAACAAAUGGUGCUGGAAUAGCUGGCUAGCCGUAUGCAGAAGAAUGAAACUGGACCCCUACCUUUUACCAUAUACAAAAAUUAACUCAAGAUGGACUAAAGAUUUAAAUGCAAACCCCAACCUAUAAAAAUCCUAGAAGAAAACCAAGGAAAUACCAUUCUGGACAUUGGCCUUGGCAAAGAAUUUAUGACCAAGUCCUCAAAAGCAAUUGCAACAAAAACAAAAAAUGACAAGUGGGACCUAAUUAAACUAAAGAGCUCUUGCACAACAAAAGAAACUAUCAACAGAGUAAACAGACAACCUACAACCCAUAGAAUGGGAGAAAAUAUUCGCCAACUAUGCAUCUGACAAAUGUUUAAUGUCUACAAUCUGUAAGAAAAUUAAACUAAUCAACAAGAAAAAACAAACGAACACUUUUCAAAAGAAGACAUACAAGCAGCGAACAAACAUGAAAAAACGCUCAACAUCUAUAAUAUAAAAGAAAUGCAAAUCAAAUCUACAAUGAGUCCCAUAAUCCCAGCACUUUUUGAGGCCGAGUCAGGUGUUUCACCUGAGGUCAGGAGUUCAAGACCAGCCUGGCCAACAUGGUGAAACCCCACCUCUACUAAAAAUACAAAAAAAAAAAAAAAUAGCCGGGCAUCUUGACACACACCUGUAAUCCAGGCUACUCAGGAGGCUGAGGCAGGAGAAUGGCUUGAACCUGGGAGGCUUAAGGCAGAGGUGGAGGUGAAGGUUACAGUGAGCCGAGAUAGUGCCAUUGCAUCCAGCCUGGGCAACAAGAGCAAAACUCCAUCUCAAAAAACAAACAAACAAAAACACACAAAGAGAUAUCAUUUCAUACCAGUCAGAAAAUAUUUUACAUAGUAAAUAUUUUACAUAAUAAAAUAUUAUUUUAUUAUGUAAAAAAUAAUAAUAAUAAUAACAAAUGCUGGUGAGGCUGUAGAGAAACGGGAGUAUUUAUACACCGUAGGAAUGUAAAUACUUCACCCACUGUGGAAAGAAGUAUGAAGAUUUCUCAACGUGCCUAAAAUGGAGCUACUAUUCAACCCAGCAAUGCCAUUAUUGGGUAUAUACUCAAAGGAAAAUAAAUCUCCCCCAAAAGACACAUGAACUUGUAUAUUUAUCCCAUUAUUUGCAAUAGGAAUCAACCUAGGUGCCCAUCAAUGGUGGUUUGGACAAAGAAAAUGUGGUACAUAUACAACAUAGAAUACUACACAGCCAUAAAAAGAGUGACAUGAUGUCUUUUGCAGCAUCAUGGCAUGCAGCUGGAGGCCAUUAUCCUAAGCAAAUCAAUGCAGGAGCAGAAAACCAAAUACCACAUGUUCUCACUCAUAAGUGGGAGCUAAACAUUGACUACACAUGAAUAUAAAGAUGGAAGCAAUGGACAGUGCAUACUACUAAAGGGGAGAGAAAGGGAGGGAGGAAUGAGUUAAAAACUACCGUUUGGAUACUACACUCAUUACCUGGGUGACGGGAUCAUUUGUAUCCCAAACUUUAGCAUCAUGCAAUAUAUCCAUGUAAGAAACCUGCACGUGUAACAUCUGAAUUUAAAAUAAAAGUUGAAAGUAUUUUUUAAAGCAAUAAAUCUUUCUCUCCCUUUUAAAUCCAUGGUUAUUUUGUUUUGUGGUCACUUCAGGCUGAGCCAAAUCCCAAUUAAUACAUGCUUUAGCAUGUGAAUUUACACUACAGAAACAAGUGAUGCAAC